rnacentral:rRNA from 1 species
UACGAAGGGGGCUAGCGUUGCUCGGAAUUACUGGGCGUAAAGGGCGCGUAGGCGGAUCGUUAAGUCAGAGGUGAAAUCCCAAGGCUCAACCCUGGAACUGCCUUUGAUACUGGCGAUCUUGAGUGUGUGAGAGAGGUAUGUGGAACUCCGAGUGUAGAGGUGAAAUUCGUAGAUAUUCGGAAGAACACCAGUGGCGAAGGCGACAUACUGGCUCAUUACUGACGCUGAGGCGCGAAAGCGUGGGGAGCAAACAGG